AUCCCAUGAUGAGGACAGGUGAGGAUGUAUUCUUGCAGCCUCUCCCAAGCUUUAGGGAUUGACUCCAUCCCUGUCUACUGGAAACUUGAAAUUUUCCCGUGCUGGGCGU